UGAAGAGUUUGAUCAUGGCUCAGAUUGAACGCUGGCGGCAGGCCUAACACAUGCAAGUCGAACGGUAACAGGAAGCAGCUUGCUGCUUUGCUGACGAGUGGCGGACGGGUGAGUAAUGUCUGGGAAACUGCCUGAUGGAGGGGGAUAACUACUGGAAACGGUGGCUAAUACCGCAUAACGUCGCAAGACCAAAGAGGGGGACCUUCGGGCCUCUUGCCAUCAGAUGUGCCCAGAUGGGAUUAGCUUGUUGGUGAGGUAACGGCUCACCAAGGCGACGAUCCCUAGCUGGUCUGAGAGGAUGACCAGCCACACUGGAACUGAGACACGGUCCAGACUCCUACGGGAGGCAGCAGUGGGGAAUAUUGCACAAUGGGCGCAAGCCUGAUGCAGCCAUGCCGCGUGUAUGAAGAAGGCCUUCGGGUUGUAAAGUACUUUCAGCGGGGAGGAAGGUGUUGUGGUUAAUAACCGCAGCAAUUGACGUUACCCGCAGAAGAAGCACCGGCUAACUCCGUGCCAGCAGCCGCGGUAAUACGGAGGGUGCAAGCGUUAAUCGGAAUUACUGGGCGUAAAGCGCACGCAGGCGGUCUGUCAAGUCGGAUGUGAAAUCCCCGGGCUCAACCUGGGAACUGCAUUCGAAACUGGCAGGCUUGAGUCUUGUAGAGGGGGGUAGAAUUCCAGGUGUAGCGGUGAAAUGCGUAGAGAUCUGGAGGAAUACCGGUGGCGAAGGCGGCCCCCUGGACAAAGACUGACGCUCAGGUGCGAAAGCGUGGGGAGCAAACAGGAUUAGAUACCCUGGUAGUCCACGCCGUAAACGAUGUCUACUUGGAGGUUGUGCCCUUGAGGCGUGGCUUCCGGAGCUAACGCGUUAAGUAGACCGCCUGGGGAGUACGGCCGCAAGGUUAAAACUCAAAUGAAUUGACGGGGGCCCGCACAAGCGGUGGAGCAUGUGGUUUAAUUCGAUGCAACGCGAAGAACCUUACCUGGUCUUGACAUCCACGGAAGAAUUCAGAGAUGGAUUUGUGCCUUCGGGAACCGUGAGACAGGUGCUGCAUGGCUGUCGUCAGCUCGUGUUGUGAAAUGUUGGGUUAAGUCCCGCAACGAGCGCAACCCUUAUCCUUUGUUGCCAGCGGUCCGGCCGGGAACUCAAAGGAGACUGCCAGUGAUAAACUGGAGGAAGGUGGGGAUGACGUCAAGUCAUCAUGGCCCUUACGACCAGGGCUACACACGUGCUACAAUGGCGCAUACAAAGAGAAGCGACCUCGCGAGAGCAAGCGGACCUCAUAAAGUGCGUCGUAGUCCGGAUUGGAGUCUGCAACUCGACUCCAUGAAGUCGGAAUCGCUAGUAAUCGUGGAUCAGAAUGCCACGGUGAAUACGUUCCCGGGCCUUGUACACACCGCCCGUCACACCAUGGGAGUGGGUUGCAAAAGAAGUAGGUAGCUUAACCUUCGGGAGGGCGCUUACCACUUUGUGAUUCAUGACUGGGGUGAAGUCGUAACAAGGUAACCGUAGGGGAACCUGCGGUUGGAUCACCUCCUUACCUUAAAGAA
rnacentral:rRNA from 1 species